GCAAAAACGUUUCACACCAUAUAAGUAUUUUUUUCUUUGAUAAUUAAAAAAAAUAUCUGGAGGGGCCUAUAAAAAGCCUUGUUCCUCACUUGCAACGAUACAAAUAGAACGAGACACGACAAAGACAAAUUGUUGAAAUGUUUCGACUUGUGUUUGUGUUACUACUACAUAUGUAGAGAUGAAACUAUAUUGGAUUGAGAGGGCGUGGAGAUAAUUCUAGGCUACAUAUUUGAAAACAAAAAGUUUUUAGAAGAAGUCCUUACUCACCCCUUCAUCAAGGGUGUCUCUUAUAAGCAUCUCAAGUUCAUUGGAGACAUCAUUCUGAAUCUCUAUCAUCAAGUAUCUAUCUUUUUAUUGUUUAUCUUUUUUGUUAAUCCUAACCAAUAUUCUUUUUCAUUCGUGUUUGUAACACUAAUAAGGAUUGACACAAUUGAUAAUGACUUGUGUCUUUUAACAAGUAAUGCAAAGUUCGAAAUUUUUAUUAGCAUUUAGGUCAUCACCAACACCACUGAGUCCAUUUUUUAUAUUAUCUAUGUUGACCUCAACCUUGACCUUUAAACACUAUAAAUGAUACAUACGUUUACUAAUUCAUCAUAAUGAUAUCUAUUACAAAUAAUUACUAAAUAAGAUUUUGAAUCAUUAUUAGAUAAUGAAUGAUAAUAAUUAUAAAAUAUUAUUUGAUAAGGUUUUAGCAAUCAAUUCAUUAUUGAUGAUAAUAAAUGAUAACUAUUAUAAAUCAUUAUUGGAUUAUGUUUUAAAUUGCACUGAUGACAUGUUUUGUGAAAAAAUGUUUUAUCAAUUGUGAUUGUUACAGGUAAUUAGGCAUGUUUUGGAGCUGAUGGUGAGACACUGGAUGUACAUCAAAAUAUUGAUGAGCUUUGUCACAUCAAAACAUGGCCCAAACCAAAGUACAUAUUGCCUAAGGAAAGUCGACCCAAUUUGAGAAAGCAAAUUCCAGUUUGCCUAUGAAAAGUUGACUCCUCAUUCUCAUGGUUGAGUAACUCCUUGAUCACGUGAAGAUAAUAACAGGUCACGUUUUAGUUCCGUUAUUCUGGCUGCAAUUCUGUGAUUGCUGGAUAGCAAGUCUGUGAUUUCACUGCUCCUGUGUACACAUUCGUAAUCAUGUUGAGCAUAGUGAUCGAUUGUAGUGAUUCUGGUCCAGUCUUGUGCUUUGUUGCUAUCUGAAUUUAAUUUUGUUGCUAGAAACAUUUAGUAGAUGCCUAGUCUGUAUAUGGACUUUAGUGAAGUGCUAUGUUAGAUUGUUGAUAACAUUCAUCAAAAUUUGAUACCAAAAGCAACAAACAAUAUUGUCGAACCAGUGAUGCUAUAUCGGUGGCAGCGUUAUCAUUAUCAGCAAAAGAGAGAGUACAAAUAAAAUAACAAGAGUGCACAACACCAGUGAUGCCACCAGAACAAGCCAGAAAAAAAAAAAAAAA